AAUGAACGUUGGCGGCGUGGAUUAGGCAUGCGAGUCGCGCGAGAAUGUAGCAAUACAGGAAAGCGGCGAAAGGGAGAGGACAACAUGGGAAUCUGCCCGGGGACGAGGAUAGCGUCGGGAAACUGACGGUAAUACUCGAUAAUGUUUGCGGACCAAAGGUGAGAUUCCGCCCCUGGAUGAGCCCAUGCCCCAUUAGCUUGUUGGCGGUGUAAUAGACCACCAAGGCGAUGAUGGGUAGCUGGUGUGAGAGCACGACCAGCCUCACUGGCACUGAGACACUGGCCAGACACCUACGGGUGGCUGCAGUCGAGAAUCUUCGGCAAUGGACGAAAGUCUGACCGAGCGACGCCGCGUGCGGGACGAAGGCCUUCGGGUUGUAAACCGCGUGUCGUAGUAGGAUCAAAGGUAAUU
rnacentral:rRNA from 1 species